rnacentral:rRNA from 1 species
AAGUCGAACGGUAACAUUUCUAGCUUGCUAGAAGAUGACGAGUGGCGGACGGGUGAGUAAUGCUUGGGAACUUGCCUUUGCGAGGGGGAUAACAGUUGGAAACGACUGCUAAUACCGCAUAAUGUCUUCGGACCAAACGGGGCUUCGGCUCCGGCGCAAAGAGAGGCCCAAGUGAGAUUAGCUAGUUGGUAAGGUAACGGCUUACCAAGGCGACGAUCUCUAGCUGUUCUGAGAGGAAGAUCAGCCACACUGGGACUGAGACACGGCCCAGACUCCUACGGGAGGCAGCAGUGGGGAAUAUUGCACAAUGGGGGAAACCCUGAUGCAGCCAUGCCGCGUGUGUGAAGAAGGCCUUCGGGUUGUAAAGCACUUUCAGCUGUGAGGAAAAGUUAGUAGUUAAUACCUGCUAGCCGUGACGUUAACAACAGAAGAAGCACCGGCUAACUCCGUGCCAGCAGCCGCGGUAAUACGGAGGGUGCGAGCGUUAAUCGGAAUUACUGGGCGUAAAGCGCACGCAGGCGGUUUGUUAAGCUAGAUGUGAAAGCCCUGGGCUCAACCUGGGAUGGUCAUUUAGAACUGGCAGACUAGAGUCUUGGGGAGGGGAGUGGAAUUCCAGGUGUAGCGGUGAAAUGCGUAGAUAUCUGGAGGAACAUCAGUGGCGAAAGCGACUCCCUGGCCAAAGACUGACGCUCAUGUGCGAAAGUGUGGGUAGCGAACAGGAUUAGAUACCCUGGUAGUCCACACCGUAAACGCUGUCUACUAGCUGUGUGUGUCUUUAGACGUGCGUAGCGAAGCUAACGCGCUAAGUAGACCGCCUGGGGAGUAC